GGGGACGUGGCGGAACCGGUAGACGCAGCGGACUUAAAAUCCGUUGGCCGCAGGCCGUGAGGGUUCGAGUCCCUCCGUCCCCACCA
rnacentral:tRNA from 1 species